AAUGAACGCUGGCGGCGCGCCUAAUACAUGCAAGUCGAGCGAGAAGACGUAGCAAUACGUUUGUAAAGCGGCGAACGGGUGAGGAAUACAUGGGUAACCUACCCUAGAGUGGGGAAUAACUAGCCGAAAGGUUAGCUAAUACCGCGUACGCUCCUUGGACUUCGGUCAGGAGGAAAGCGAUGCCGAGGGUAGUCGCGCUCUUGGAUGGGCUCAUGUCCUAUCAGCUUGUUGGGAGGUAACGGCUCACCAAGGCUUCGACGGGUAGCUGGUCUGAGAGGACGAUCAGCCACACUGGCACUGCGACACGGGCCAGACUCCUACGGGAGGCAGCAGUAAGGAAUAUUGCGCAAUGGGCGAAAGCCUGACGCAGCGACGCCGCGUGGGGGAUGAAGGUCUUCGGAUUGUAAACCCCUUUC
rnacentral:rRNA from 1 species